UCUCCCUUGGUGUAGUUGGUUAUCACAUAGCUCUGUGGAUGCUAAGGUCGCCAGUUCGAGCCUGGCAGGGAGAA